rnacentral:rRNA from 1 species
AGAGUUUGAUCAUGGCUCAGAACGAACGUUGGCGGCGUGGAUUAGGCAUGCAAGUCGAACGAGAAAGCCAUUCUUCGGAAAGGCGAGUAAAGUGGCGAACGGGAGAGUAACGCGUGGGAAACCUGCCCUCUAGUGGGGGACAACACUCCUAACGGGGUGCUAAUACCGCAUGUGACCCGGAGAUCGCAUGACCUCCGGGUGAAAGGUGGCCUCUGCUUGCAAGCUGCCGCUAGAGGAUGGUCCCGCGUCCCAUUAGCUUGUUGGUAGGGUAACGGCCUACCAAGGCGACGAUGGGUAGCCGGCCUGAGAGGGUGUCCGGCCUCACUGGGACUGAGAUACGGCCCAGACUCCUACGGGAGGCAGCAGUCGAGAAGCUUCGGCAAUGGGCGAAAGCCUGACCGAGCGACGCCGCGUGAGCGAUGAAGGCCUGAGGGUUGUAAAGCUCUGUCAGGAGGGAAUAAAUACCGGCGGCUAAUACCCGCCGGGGCUGAAGGUACCUCC